CCCGGCCCUCGCGCCUCCUUUUGCCGCCCGCUCCUACAGGUGGCCGCAGGGAGCCGCUUCUGGCCUUUCUUCGUGGCCGCCUUUCUCGCCCCAGCCCUGCCAGAGUAUCUCCCCCCCUGCAUAUACACACACGCACGCGCGCGCUCAGAGGCACCACUGUUCAGCUGAGAGGAAGUCACUAGCUCUGCCCAUGCUGAAGAUGAACAUCAGAUUUGCCUUGCUGUUUGGCUAAGAGGAUUAUGAAGUGAGCAGUAGGAGUUGAAGGGACAGCAUCACACAUCUUCAUUCUAUGUUUCUAAGACCAAACAACUGCAUUGUUUUUCUAGUACAGUAUUUUGCAUUUGUCUUUUUAUGGCUAGUCACCUGUCCUCUAACUAGAAAUACAAUGAUAAAUCAAGCAAA